UGAUGUAAGUUGAAGUACUGAACGAACCCUGUCAUAUGAAGCAGAGCAGUUUAAUGUGUGUCUGAAAAGGAUGUCGUGAAUAACCUUUAGCCAAACGUCUCCAUGGGAACCUGAGGGGUGGUUAUUUCAUUCGUUGCAUCUCCAGGCAAAUGUUUUCAAGACGUAUCGAGUUCUCUUUAAAUGUAACAAGCAGUAAGUUACCUCCAAUAGAAGCUAACGGUACGACGAACUACACGCAGCAGACGACGUCCCGGUGUAUUAACGUCGAGGCCAGUAAGCUGAAUUGUUUAUUGACAGGCGUUUUGAAGGAUGACAUCAACAACAUGCUGUCCAGCUCCAUGUCAUAACAGAAAUGCGUUGACCUGGCUUCUAUGCCCAAACAUUGAUCAUGUGUCCUCUGCAUUGCAAAUUCUUGUUCACCUUGCUCAGGAGGACAAAGGUGAACUUGUCGAAAAGGUUCUUCAGCACUGCAACCCAGAAUUAUGCAUAGAUGCUCUUCGAAAACUGCUGAAGUCACCUGCCUCAUGACACAGCCAUGAAUGCGGCAUUUGCUGUUGGCCGUCUGUGUGGUAGCAAACAAGCCAAGAUCCUCAUUCUGAGAGUGGCCAAAGAGCAUCAGCUGGUUAGUCGCCUGCAGACUCUGCUGUUGAGUGGGUCAGGAGUGGAGAUGGGGCAAACAGUGUGCUUUGCUCUGAGCUGCUUAGCAAAUGAGGAAGAUGGCCAUGCUCUGCUGAUGGAAAGCACCUGUGUCCCUACAUUGCUGAAUGGUCUUUUACAGCUGUUGCAGAGCCCAGACCCAGACAGUAUCUGGUUUGCUGCUAUGUAGGUUAUCUAAUUAACUGUAGUUGGAGUGUUGUAAGUAAUGACCAUCUAAGGAUAUUAGUAACAAUAAAUACGUAGCAAGCAUAUCACGUACAAUAACACUAAAUACACUUCUCUGUUAUAAGUGAAUCUUCAUACCACAAAUAUUUAAGGCCAAUUUAAACUCACAUUCUGCCACUGCACAUGUAUAAUUAAAUAGACAGUAUUUGUAUUUGUUUAGAUCAAUAAUUUUCCACCUUUUUGACUAAAGAUUUAGUUAUGUACAAUGUCAUGCAGGUCUGGAAUGACAUGAGUCUGAGUAAAUGAUGACAGAAUGUUCAUUUUGGGGAAAACUAUUCAUAUUAAAAAUGCCAUAAAAAGAUUCACAUUCACUUUAAAAGGCUCAACCCAACCCCUCUGUCUAACAGGACAGUACGAAUACUGGUUUCCCGGCCGAGUGGAGUGGUCCCUGUCAGGAUCCAUUGCUCUCUGCAUGAGCAGUUGAAGAUUCUCUCUAUGUCACCAUCCACUGGGCUAGAGCUGCAGGAGGAGGUCAACAUGUGUCUCAGGAAACUGGAGCGUUUAUCCAAACCACAUCCAGUGAUGGUUACAAACCUCUCAUCAACGAGCUGCACUGUAUCAUGGGAAAAGUGUAGACCUGAAAGUGGCCUGGAGGUCAUAUACAGUCUCUUUCACAAGGAUGUCAUGCUGUACCAUGGCCUGUUGUGUCAGGUGACCAUACCUAUUUCUCCCAAGCAAUCUAAGGAGCCCCUUUCCCUACAGCUCAACCUGUCUACACCUGAUGGUGACAUUAGUCCUUUCAGUGAACCUGUGGUUAUUACUCCAGAGCAGCUGGACACGAGACUUUAGCCUCCACGAGAGCUCUGUGUGAUUGGCUCUACAGCUACACAGGUACGCCUGUGCUGGAUAGAACCAGAGGGAGGAGCCAAACCCAAAUCAUACCAGAUCUACUGUAAUGACACACUGGUGAAGACCACUGCUCUGCUGGGGGCUACAGUUGGCUGUUUAUCUCCUGGCACCUCCUAUCAGCUGAGUGUGAGUUCACUUGGUCCAGGGGACACAGAGAGUCCUAGAGCAGUAACUGAGGUGAGGACAGCGGAAGAUCAAGAUCAUGCUCCUUCUGCGGUCACUGUAGUUGUCCUGGGACGACAUGAACUGCAGAUAAACUGGGGAGCUCCAGUCGCUCCUUUGGGGAGACUCUUCAAAUAUGAGCUAAGUCUAAAUGGGUGUGUGGUGUACCUGGGCACAGAAAGGUCAUACACUGCUUGUCGCCUGUCUGCUAACACAGCAUACACCUGUGUUGUGACAGCUAUCACCUCCAGGGGGCGCUGCCAGAGCAGUCCGGUCACAAAGAAGACAGCACGGGAUGAAUUCCUGCACUCACAUAGGUAUCUGCACUCUCAUAGCCACCAGUCAGCCUCAAAACACUCCACUCCUUCUUCAAGCAUCCAAGUGAUAAGUGAAGUCAAAAAGAAUGACACAGUUUCUCCAGCUACACUCAAUUCUAAGGUCCAUCCCACUAUGAUCCCGCACAGAGCCCUUGACCUUAGAAAAGACAGGCACAGGCAAACAUCAGUUCCUAAAGGGAUUCAACCUUCCAGUCACACAUCUAAGGAACAUUAUGAGUACAUGUUCCGGUCCUUGACCAUAUCAUCAACCCCAGAGGAUCUCAGACACUUUAAGGCCAAGAUCAGCCCAGCCAGACCGCAGUGGAACUCAGACAGAAAAGUUCCCAUAGACAGAGAGAAACUUCCAGGCAUCAGCAAACAAAUCUCAGAGGAUGUGAGACUGCUUCAGCCUGUUUCGUUUAGUUGGUCUAAUCUGGAAUGGACCAAACAACAUCAAAACAGACCACAAAGAAAUAAAGCCAUUUUGAAGGUCCAAUGUCAGGAAAGAGGAAGACGAUAUCAAAUAUCAUCACAAACCAAACUCACGUAACAAAUUGUGGACAUCUAGGCUACCAAAAUCAGUGUUUAUAUUAAUACAUAUUUAUUUUAUUUGAAUAUAAA
ensembl:lncRNA